AAAAACACUAUGAAGGAGACAGUAUGUAUCCUCAGCUUGCCUGCAGAGAGUCGGGGGCUUGGUGGGAACCCGAUGACAAGGAAGAUACAGAAAAUCACUCCGGAGUGGCAGUCCGAACCGUUCUUUUGCUCAGUAGGCUCUGCCGUAGCCCGCGUUAAGGGAAAGCAUCAUGAUGGUGAUGCAGCUAAGCUGGGCGGCAUUUUGUGCCGUCAAUUCAGGUGGUACCGCGAACUCUUUCGUCCUGUAG
rnacentral:ncRNA from 1 species